rnacentral:lncRNA from 1 species
AGUAAGGAUGUGUAGUAGCGCAAAGAGCACUCUUUGGCCUUUAGAUUAGAGGCGCUUCGCCGUCUUUGAUUGGAUGGAAACAUCUAUCUAAAGUGUGCAGUGAAGGAGAAGAGUAAAUAGUAGGGGAAAGAAGAAAAUGGCACAUUGACAUUCAUCUUCCUCUCGAAGGGCUUUGAGAAGAGGGGCAACAGUGAAGAUACCGAGACCGUGUCUAUGGGGUCUUAGUAAGAAUCUGUGUGGACAUCUCUUGGGAAGGUAUUAAACCAUUACCCUCAGUUAUUUCAGUUUAGACCUUAUCUUUGAAUGAUUUUAAGGGUUUUAAGAGGGUAUCAAGUUGGUAUGGCAAUCUAUGGGCUAGAUCUAAAGUUGUAACUUCAGACUGGACCCUCUUUGGAGCAUUCAAGCAUAAAGUUCCGGCUUUAGGCAAGAUUAAGGUUCCCUCGGUCCAUGAACACCCAUUAAAAGUUUGGUUUUGGCAUUAAGAGCUUGUGAAGCAAUGCAUGCACGUAAAAUUUGCAACCUUACGUGAUAAGCAGGCCUAAGGAAGUUGGAUCUGCAAUUUGGGGCCUUGCCAUGGCUUAAAGACGUCUGCAUGUUAAAAUGACUGUUAAGACUCGGCGAGUCGCAAAGCCGACUCGGCGAGUCAUAUGAAGAUGUGCAUUGGACUCGACGAGUUGGAUGAACAACUUGGCGAGUAAGAUGAUGGAAGCCGUGAACUCGACGAGUUGUUUGAACAACUCGGCGAGUUAGAUGAAGAUGACCAUGAAACUCGACGAGUUGAAGAACAACUCGGCGAGUCGGAUGAGUUUAACCUAGGAUAUGGUUGAAUGUGUACCCGUCGAGUUGCAAGGAGGAAACUCGAAAGGUGGCCUUAAGGAUUGAUCGGGAUUCGAAGGAACUCGACGAGUCACUCCGAUGACUCGGCAAGUUGGAAUGUGUUCCAUAGACUCGGCAAGUGGUCAAGUGUACUCGGCGAGUUGAGGUCAACAUGGACUGUUGACCUUGACUGAGGACUUUGACCUUGCUCAGGAAUUUGCUAAGGGGUUAUGGGGUGUCUCAUAAGAGUAAGGACUUAUGAGUAUAUUGUGCUAUGGUUAUAAGUGGUGGAGCAUGUGUCAAAUGCUCUGAUAGUUGGAGUUUGCCUUUCGAAUCGACAUCUGCGAGGUGAGUUAUCCUCAUUAUAUCGAUAGGGUCUAUGGCACCAAGGUCGGCCCUUUAUGAUUUACAUCCUGGUUUAGGAUGGUUGCUUCGUUAUUGCAAUGUUAGAAUUCAUCAUGUUUAGGAUGGUUGCUAUGCUAGAGAUCGGUUAUAUCGGUUGUCAUGGUAUGCUACAUAUGAUUCUGAUCUGUUAGAUCGGAAUCAACAUAUAUAUUAUGUUAUGCCUUUAUGAUCUGUAAGGAUUGGUAUGUUAGUGACCUGUUAGGUCGAUGCUCUAGUUACGAGUGAAACUCUAUGAUUGAUGGUCAGUGAGGUAGAUAUGUUUGCUAUGUGUAUGUGCCAGUAUAUGAUAGUAUGCGUACAUGGUUAUUUGCUUGUUGGUUGGGUUGAGGCAGUCCUGCUUUGUGCUGAAGGCCAACACACCCUCUGAGCGAUCCGGGGAGACUAUAGGCCCAUGCGGCGGACCAGUCACGCCGAAGGCUCGGGAUAGAUCCAGAUAGACUGUAGGCCCAGUAGGGCGGACCAGUCCAGCCAAUGGCCCAGUAUGUAUGUUGUUUGAUUGAUCGUUAUGGCUAUGGUUUCUGCCAGCGUGGUAUUGGUAUUUUUGGGAUAGCUCACUAAGCCCUCGGGCUUAUAGUUUUCAGUUUAGUGUUUCAGGUACUUCAGGAGAGCGAGGGAAGGCGAAGACGUGACCGUACCGCUCAUCAUCCUCAUGAUCUAAUUUAGGACACUCUGAUGAUAAAUGAAUUGGAAAUGUUUUGUAAAAACAACUACUAUGUGACUCUUUUGUUAGUAUUAAAAGUUUAAAUUUGGUGUAAAUUUUAUGGGUGUUACAGAAUUUAAUGUUUACUUGUUUUAGGUAUAGUUUAAUUGUUAGGAAGUUUGAUUGGGUAAUUGUUAAUUUUCGCACCGGAACAAGGCCGGUCGGUUAUUUUUAGCGAUGUUGGAAUUAUACGUAUUUUCAUCUUUCCAUUUUCAUGAAUUGUAGUUUGGUAUUUUAUUUUAACUCAAAUAUCUUAAAAUAAAAUAACUGACUCAAAAUCUUGGUGAACCCCAUUCAGCCCUACUUUGGUAAAAUUGACAAUUUUAGUCAUUUAUAUAUAAAAAGACAUUUUAAGCCCUUAAACCAUUUUCUUGACACUUUUGACCCAAGAAUUGUUCAAGUGAUAUUUUUAGCUCAAAGCUUAUUCUUUGACAGUUUCAUCCCUUCCGGAAAAGUAGUUUUCGGUCAAAGCCCAAACUUUUGCAACUUUACAAUUUUGGCCCAAAAUCCAAAAAGUUUACAUUUUUUAUCCUUGUUUGGAAAAUACAUCAUUUUAACCCCUGAAAUAAUUUUGUUUACCCUUUUUGCCCCCUGUUUUGAGAAGUUUAUCAUUUCACUCCCUUNUCAUUUCACUCCUUGGAAGUUGAAAUUUUCGCAAGUUAUGGCUUAAUUGGCCGAAAAGCCCAAAAUUUGGCCCAUUAAGCUACAAUUUACACUUCUAGCCCUUAAAAGAGUGUGAUAUCCAUAAAAACAUUUAUAUUUACUGAUUUUUCUCUUUUAGUCCUUAAUAAAACAGUGAAUAGCCAUUUUUCAACCCAACUUUCUUUUGUUUGACAAUUUUAGCCCAAAAGUGGGUUUUAUGUUGCAAUAUCUAUACUUUAAUCUUAGAGGGUAAUUUUCUUAACUUGUUUAGUGUAAGAUGUUCUAGAUCAUGUUUAUAUUCCUCUUAGAUCCAUAGAUCUCGAGAUUUCCAUUCUUUUUGUUACAUAUUUAUCACAUAAUCACAUGAAAUCACACAUAACAUACACAUACAUAUAGAUCUACACGUUGUACUUGUAUUCUCCCCCAUAAAACACAUGAAAACUGAAAAUAGAGGGGUAUGAACUCACCUUUGCUUGUUGUUUUCGAUUUGAAGAAGAAAUGGAAGAAUUUUGAUGUUAUUCUCGGCCUUACAAAGCUUCUUGAGAAGAAUUUGGCUUAGAUGGGUUCUAAGAAGCAUGAUCAUGAACUUUCAUGAGUUAGAAGGGGAUUAUAACAAUCUCAAGAAGCUAAACCAUGGAUCCAAGCAUUAACUUACCUAUAAUGAUUAUUUUUGUGGAAUAAUCUCCUUGAAAAGCUCUUAAUCUCGAAAACUUUGAAGGAGAAGUGAAGAGUGUUCUUUGAGAGUGUUUGGAGAGAAUUUUUGAGGUGUGUGUGUGUUUUUCCUUUGUGUUCUCGGCCGAAGAAGAAAAGAGAGGGGAGAGGAGAGAGAGUGAAGUGAUAGAUGCUUGGAAGUAUGAGAUAGUUGCAUGGAUAUCCCAAGUAUAAUUUUGAGGUGGCAUAUAAAAGUCAACUCUUUCUCCCUAAGUUUUAUAGUUGGGCCGAGAGAGGUAGAGGAAAGAAAGAAUUUAGGGCCUUUUUUGUGCUUAAAUCCAUAUUAUGGCCCAUUGAUGAUUUUUUGGCCCAAUUGGUCUUUGGAGAUGGUUCACGGCCCAAAAUAAAUCAAAGAAUGAGUAUUAUGGUCCAUUAGGGCUAAUUAGAUUUGUUAUGGCCCAAUAAGGUCCAUUAGGACAUUUUAUUUCAUUCUAGGCCUAAUAUGGCCCAAAAUGUUAAAAUAAAUGGGAGUGGGUCCAAUUUGAUGGUGCUAGCACGGAGAUUUUCCGAACCAGCAGAUUAAGACUCUAUUUGAGAGUUUCAGCAGCUUGAGGUGAGUUUCCUCAUUGUGUUUAGUGGGUCGAAGACACCAAUAUCGACCCAUGGUUUAUUAUGAUUAGGAUGCUAGUUGUCUGCUCGACUCUACAUGUAAGUUUUAUGAUAUGUUUACCCCAAUGUCGGGCUAGGCUUGAUGAUUAUACUCUAUGCUAUUUAUCUUUGUGAUUUUUGCAUCUGUUUAUAUGUUUGUAUGUUUAUCAGGUGGGGCCUGAUGACUGACAUAAAGAAACAAGAUGGUAUGAAAAAGAUAAUGGAGAGAGAGAGAGAGAGAGAGAGAGAAACCCUUUCCAUAUUAAAUUUAAUUUUUUCUUUUUAAAAAAAAUAAUAAAAAACCUCAUAAAUAGUCCCUAUGUAGUGAAAUGAAGAAAAUGUCCUUCAUUUAACGGCCAAAAGCUAACGUAGGUAGCAAAAAAGACCAAGCAUCAAAAGUUUUGAAAGCAUAGGGACCAUCUAUGAAAUUUUUUAACUUAGGUACUCAACUUCAGAUCUUGAAAAAACAUAGGGACCAAUUAUGAUGUUUUUUCUACAGAAAAUAAUCAUUUUUUUGUUAUUGAAAAAUGAUCACUUCCUCCCAAAUAUUGUUGUCCUUUAAAUUCCAGUGUUUUUUUCAUUUUUUUUCAAAGAAGUAUUUUUCAUUUGUAUUUGAAAUGUUUAAUAUAACUGUUUUUUAAUAAAAUGUUUGGUUUUAAGUCAUAUUAAUGUAUAUAUUUUCUUGUUUAACUUUUUGUUAGAUUUUAGUAAAAAAAUAUUUUUUUUUCUCGAAAUCAUGAAGCCGUUCAUUAGAUUUCGCACUUUUUCAGAACGUCGGUCUAAAAUGUAUUUUAUCAGAAUAUAUAUAUAUAUAUAUAUANNNNNNNNNNNNNNNNNNNNNNNNNNNNNNNNNNNNNNNNNNNNNNNNNNNNNNNNNNNNNNNNNNNNNNNNNNNNNNNNNNNNNNNNNNNNNNNNNNNNNNNNNNNNNNNNNNNNNNNNNNNNNNNNNUUCUAUUUCAUGGUUAUUUUUUCAAAAACUUUUUCUUUUAUUUUCUUCAAAAUACAUACAUACAUUAUGGUUAUUAGAUUAUUCAAUUUUCCAUGUAAAACUAAUUAGCUCUAAAUGAGACUUCGUAUUCCUAUAUAUCUACCCUAAUAAAUAAGAAUGAUUUUGCCACAUGUCUUUUUCUCCUUCAUUUGGACACAUGUCAUUUUCUAACAUUUUUAAAUUUUCUAUUUUCCACUUGUCAUUUUAUUAAAUUAAAAUUCUACAUUUAAUAUGUAAGGUAUUUAUUAGAAAUGGUUCAUAUAUGUAAUGUAUCUAAUACAUUAAAGCCUCUUUAAUUUUAAUAAUUCAAAAGAUUCCUCAUUUUUUCUUAUAAAUUCAAACUUUUCAAAUUGUUAAUAUUUCAUAUUUAAUUUAUUUUAAAUAAACGCAUGUAGUACAUGGAUCUCACACCUAGUCUACUAUAAUAAAUGAAGGUUUUUUUUUGCUACAUGUCCUCUUCUCCUUCAUUUGGACACAUGUCAUUUUCUAGAUUUUUUGAAUUUUUUAUUUUCCACUUGUCAUUUAAUUGUAAUUUUUCACUUUAUUAAAUUAAAAUUUCACAUUUAAUAUGUAAGGUAUUUAUUAGAAAUGGUUCAUAUAUGUAAUGUAUCUAAUACAUUAAAGCCUCAUUAAUUUUAAUAAUUCAAAAAAAAUCUCAUUUUUCUUAUAAAUUCGAAAUUUUCAAAUUGUUAAAAUUUUAUAUUUAAUUUUUUUUAAAAAUAAACUCAUGUAAUACAUAGGUCUCAUACCUAGUUUAAUUUAUAAAACCAUUUUUCCGCUAUAGGAAAACCAUACCAUCCAAAUGAGUUGUUUCAUUAGGGAGACUAGUUUACAAGGAGACGAGGAAAACCAUUGUCAUCGCUAUCUUCACAAGAAAAGACGAAUCUUGUAUAUUUUUCUCCUUAUCCUCCAAGAACUAUACAACAAACACAAACAUUCACAUAAUUAUUAUUCACAACGCAAACCAUGAUACUUAACGAUAGCUUAUUACAUUAAUAAGCAUAUAAUAGUAAAACACUCUCUCAUUACAUAUUGUAGACUCUAUAUAACAUACAAUACAACAUAAUAAGUAUAUCUAUCAACAAGGACAACUAAAAAUUAUCCGAUUCUUGAUGCUUUUCCCAUCUUUCAUUAAAAGUAAGCCAUCUCUAAAGCCUUUGCCUUCUCCCCUACGGUUUUAGCUUCUUCUUGCUUACCCAAUAUCUUAUAACCCCUCUCCUAAAACCAAUAAACCAUUACUGCUUUUAUAUUUAAAAAAAAAUAGAAAAUUUUGGUACCAAACCCCUAAUGUAUAUGUUAUAAAACAUAUUUUUUUUUUCAAAUGAUACAACUACUUCAUGUUAUUAUUUGAGCAACUAUUGNNNNNNNNNNNNNNNNNNNNNNNNNNNNNNNNNNNNNNNNNNNNNNNNNNNNNNNNNNNNNNNNNNNNNNNNNNNNNNNNNNNNNNNNNNNNNUAUAUAUAUAUAUAUGUAAAGCGGGAUCUAUACCAGCAAGCGCCAUAAAAACGGGGACCCGCCCCUCUUCUUUAAUUGCUUCUCAAUCACUUCAAUCGCUGCAAAAUGCAAUCCCAUGUUUAGGGCUAUUUUUAACGAGGGCAUUUAAGUCUUUUGCACAGACGAGAGUCUCUGUCCCAACUUUUUGGGUUGGACAAAAGCAUUGACGUGUUUGUCUUAUUGACAUCAGUGUCAGUCCCAAUCUAAUGCAUAUCAAACACAGUGUCUUCUUAUGGUGCAUACAGACGAAAAACAAGUGGGCCUACCCUUUUCAGCUUGUCCACCAUCAAGUAACAUAACAUACCAAGCUUCAUUAAACACAUCAAGUUGUUCCCCAGACGCGCCAAUCAUCUACAAAAAAUUCAAAAUUUUGCAUAUAAGAAAUAGUUCGAUCGCAAAUGUUAGCUGUCAGCUGUGUUAGCUGUUAGCUAGUGGCUGGUAGUUGGUAGCUAGUAGCGGUGUCAAGAAGACAAACACUACAAAUUUUGUGUCCGGCUCAAUAAGGUGUAACGAGGUGGGACAUAGACCUCGCGUGUGUGCAAAAGACAUAAAUGCCCUUCUCAUCCUGAAAGAAGGAAUCUAUUAACACCUUACAGUUUUCAGCAUCAAAGUCCAGACCAAGCAACUCUAAGGCUUUAUUGAAGUCGCCUCUCCCAUACUCGUAUGUAGCUUCUGCAAGCUACAACCAUAUAUAAUAAAGGGUUAUUUCUUCCAUUUAGCCUUAUAUUAAAAUCUAUAAAAUUGUCAUAUUCGGAUAAAGUUAUGAAAACAAACCAUUAGUCCUUUCUGCAUUAACUUUCCCUUCUUUGAAUUCAUUGUGGAAACCCUAAGAAAAAAAAAAGAAAUAAUAAUUCAUAGGGAAAAUAGGAAAGAAUCAAUAGAGUGUUUUUCUAACUUCUCUUUUAAGCCAUUGAGUAAAUCUUGACCCUCGGUUGACUUCCCAGUAAAAGCUAAGGCCCAUAAUAUUAAUAAAUCAAGGUGCCACUCAAGAUACCAAAAGCCCUAAGAAACCAUAUCAUCAUAAUAAGCAAAAAAAAAUAUACAAAAAACAACAUUUUCUAAAUUUAAUUUUAGUCCAUUGUCAAAAUCUUUGUUUUGGAAAAAUGAAAGAAACUCACUCGAUUUGAUAGAUAACCUGCUAAGAUCUUCAAAUGAUCAUCAAAGAAACGGAUUUCGCCUCUUACAUAAACUCUCAAUAACAAUCCAAUUGCAUUCAAGUAUACCUAAAUGCACAAAACACAAAUACAAUAACAUUAAAUUAAAAGAUUGUGUUUUUGUGAGUUGAAUUAAAGAAAUAAGGGAAGGGUAAAAAAGUAAAAAACCUCAACGGGAGUAGCAUCACUUCUAUCCAACUCUUUCCAUAUAUGAUUGUCAUAGAUUUCUCGGACUUUUUCAAAGGGAGCAUUUCCUUCCAAGUAACAAAGAGCAACAUGCCACCAAUUGUGAGUGUUCCUACACAUCGAGUUUAAAUCUUCAUUUCCUUUUUUGUCAUAUUAAGUUUUGUCUGGAUAAAUGAUAUUUAAGAAUAUUUCUAGAAACUGUGACUUCCUUAUUAUGUCAUUCUCUUUGCAUUAAGUCAAAAAGAAACACUCGUAUACAGAUCCCCAUUAAGUAUGCAAGCAUGAUAUAGUUUUGAAGAUUAACUUCAUUUAGAGGGGUAUUUACGUAAAAGAUAAAACGAAUAACAAUUGUCAUCAAAUUAACUUCAAACCAUAAAAUUCUUAUGCAUUUUGAAUAUGCUUACAUGAAUGAUGAUAAAGGAGCCCAAGAUUUUGAGCAUUCUUCCAUGAAUUCCACUGCUUCCUUAAAUCGACACUCAUAUUGAAACACAUGGCACAACUGCAAAAAAAGGCUCAAUACUAUGAGAACAAGAUAUAAUUUUAACAAUUAGUUUUUCUCUACUAUUUCUCCAAAUUGUACUAUGUUGACUCUAAAAAAUUAUAAAAUCUAUGCAAUUUUCACCAAACACUCAAAACUCAAAGAUCACUUUAUUUAUACAACCAAACACCCAUAACAAUAUAACAAAUUUUAAACAUCAAUGCUACAUAAAAUAUGAAAUGACAACAUAAAUCUUUCAAUUAAGCAUCUUUAUGGUGUUUUAGUAAGGGCAAAUCAAAUAAAAAAAAACAUUAUUGUUUAGUCAAUUUACAGUUUAACCACCAAUACUUUAUUUUAUUUUUCCAAUCAAACCAUUAAAGUUUGACAUUUUCCCUAAUUAACCAUUUUGACAUGUUAUAUUGAAUCAAAAUGGUUAAUUUGUAAAAAAAAUUUGUAUGGUUUGAAUGGAAAAAAUAAAGUAUUAGUAGUUUAACCAUAAAGAUUCCCAAAGUAUAAUGAUUUUUUUUUUUUUUUUUUUUUUUUGUAAUUUAGUAAUUCUAGAAAAGAUUAGCUCACAGCAUGUUGUGACCAUGGAUCUUCCUUGUUAAUUUCAAACCCCUUUUUGGCAGCUUUCUCAGCAUCCUCCAUUCGACCAAGUUCUAGUAGAGGAAAUGCAAGCAUUCCAUAUACAAAAUCUUGUUGAUUAUUUGCAGGAAGCACCUAAAAAGUCAAUCGUUAAAAAGGGUAAAAACGUCUUUACACCUGUUCUUGAUAUAAAGAAAGUAAACCUUUUCAAUGAGUUGCAAAGAUAGAUCGGGUCGACCCAUGUAAAAACAUAGAACUUGAGCUCUCUUUAAAGACACCAAAUCUUUAGGGAAAUCAUUCAGUAACUACAUGAAAACCAUAACAAAUUUUAGCUAAAUGAAAGAUAAAUUGAGUCGUAUUUUAUAUAAACACUAAAUCAAACCUUGAAGUGCAAUUCAAAAGCAACAUCAUCAUCCCUAUUUGGUGAAAUCAAACAAUUGAUUGUUUCAAAAACUGCUUUUUCAUAUGGAGUUGCAAAUUCCUGCAGUAGCAUAUAUUACAAUUUAGAGGGAACCCAUCAAAAUGCAACACUAGAAUUUUCCCAUUUUUGUUUGUUUAUAGAAGAAAAAACAAAGAAAAAAUGAAUCUAUAUAGAAAGCGCGUUUGGAUAUGCGUAAUUUGCUACGUCUUGCAUUUAGCCUUUUUUAUAUCGAGAGUCCAAACACCCUCAAAAUUAUCAGUAGAAAAUUAAACAUGGACUUGUUUGUAUACUAGGUGAAGAACUGAAUAAAAGAUCGAAUGCACGAAAACACAUAGUGCUAAGAGAGGAUAGUGUGAAAUUACAAGAUUGGAGUUAGCAGCAUGAAGAAGAGAAGGAACUCGAGAAGGAUCAGAAGAACAGCAAAAAUGGGCAGCCAAAAUGUUUGCUAAUACACAGUUACGAUCAUGAUCAAUUGCUUCCAUUAUCACAGCCCUCUUUCGUCCAUAGCUAAGCACCUUCAUCAAUCGAACAAACAAUAACCAAAUUCCAUCAAAAUUAAGUAAAACCCUUACAUGAUUACAGAGAAAAAGGUGACCUCGUGAUAAUAAGAGUUAAUUGAAGAGAUGCAAGAGGAGGAAGAGGUGUUGAUGUCGUAACCCCAUUUGUCUUCCAUCUUUAUUCCUUCUUUCCCCAUAGUAAUUGUGCCUCAGACUUUCAAUUUGAGUGUGUGUGUGUGUUGUUGAUGUUGAAAUUAUAGGAUAAUAAUGGCUGAUUUUGACGGCGGUUGUUGCAAUCGGGGUUUUAGAUGAAAAUUGACAGCUGAGGAGAUAAAAUCAAAGCACUCCAGAAUCCUUUCCAGCGGCAGAAUUUGUUGGUAUUGGAGAUGAAGUAAAGAUCAAUUCUAUCUGAAUCUAAUCCCCAGACGCUAUUUUAAUUCUAAAGUGUCGGAUAGAAAGUUGUUUGGUUUUGUUUUGCUGUCGUGCUACGUUUCAAAACAACUACACUUGAUUAAAGGCUUGAUUAAAAGUUAGUAACCUUAACCACAUUUACCCCUCUUAGAUCAAUUAAAUCAAAAUUUUGACAUUUAAUUUAACAUUUUUUUUGUGUGUUUUUUUUUGUGACUUUACUAUCUUGUUUUUUUUGUUAUUUUUAAUUCUUUAUUAUUAUUAUUAUUAUUAUUAUUAUUAUUAUUAUUAUUAUUAUUAUUAUAUUAUUAUUAUUUAUAUAUAGAUUAAUUUCUUGUUCCUUUAUGCACAGUAGUUUAAUCCUAUUGGACCACCAUCAAUUUUUUUUCUUUUUCGAUAUGGUCUGCUGGGACAUUACGUGCGGUCUCCUCAACAACCCACCGUCAUAGACAUUUUUCUCGAUGUUCCCCACCAACUCCAUCUCCAAUCUACACGUGCUUCCCACCCCAUUGCUUCUCUUUUAUUUCUUCACCAAUUUUUUUUCCUUCAUCCACCGUUAUUGACUUCAAUCGCUCUCUCCUAUCGCCUCUGAUUCGAUUGGAAAACAUCUUCAAGUUCGUCAUGCCGUCCCAUUCUCCACCAAUAUCGACAAGGAACCAAAGAAACGGUAUCAUACACAAACAAACUCUUGAAGCAAAAAUCUGAUGCGUUCAUAAUUUCUUCGCGUAUUACUUCUUAUUCUUUUGUUGUUUAUGUAACGAUUUUGACAAAUAUAUAUGGUUUUCUACUAUUUUAUCAAACACGACCAGCGACAACCGCAAAAUCAAGGCUAAACCCGAAUCUUGUGAUUAAAGGGGAGGAUUUGCUGAGUACAGCUUUGGGAAAUGGGAAGGCUCAACAAGGAUAUUGGUUUUGGACAAGAAACAUGCUUAUAAGGCGUUCGAUGAAUUGUCUGAGCCAAUUAAGGUAUUCAUUCCACCUUACUUUACCUGAUUCAUUAGUUGAUUAUAUUCGUUUGAUUUUUUUUUCUUCGGGAAUUCUUAUUGUGAUCAUAGUUAGUGCUUUUGAGAUACAAGUUAACUUUGUUUUACGGUUAUUGGCAAAUGAAUAAGGUAUCUAUUAAACCUAUUAGAACUCCUAGCUAAAUUUGAAAUAUGAUUGAUUUUUUCAUCCAUACGUACUCUUUUGAAUUGGAACCAUCAAAUUGUCAUGUUAGUUAUUGGUCUAGUUGCAAAAUCAUAAACUUUUCCAUCACAAUUCAUAUAAAAAUGAGUUUAAGCAUUCCCUCUAUUUUUUAUAUCAACCUGAAUGAAAAAAUCGACUUCUCCUUUUAUGAUUUAUCUAUUUAUUGAUGAUAUUGAAAAAGUUUGUUUACUUCAAAAUUAAAGGCUAUGGAUUUUAAAUUCUAUUUUUUGGUUAGUUUUAUAACUGUUAUAAAGAGCAAUCAUGUUUCAAAUAUGGUUUUCCUUUUUCUAUCAUUGCUCCUCUUAUUCUUUCUUUAUAAAUUUUGUUAAUUCUGAAUCAUGCAAAUCUACUUUUGAGUUUUCAGGGUUAUUAGCCCUGCAAUGUCAUCUGCUUAAUUGCUUGCUCCAGCAACUAAAUUAACUAAAGUAGAGGCUAACAUUUGGUUUCACUACAAGAAACCAUCGCUUUAGCGGUGACACAUGCUUUUAGCGGCGACAGUUUGUCGCUAAUGGCUUCUCACCCGAAUUCGCGUUAUCCCCAUCUGAUAGACUUCAGUCGUUCGAUCAACUAGUUUGCAGAGUAAAGAAGCGAGAGGAGAUUAGGUGGGUUUCAGGUCCUUAAUUUUGCAAUACAACUCACAAGAUUAUAAGUUUUUGAGUGAUUUGGACCUGUUUAAAUCCUCAAUUUAGUUUUUUCUUUUUUUAAUCUAAAAUAAAAUUUUAUACGAUUUUAUGUUACAGGAUGCCCCUGUACCAUCUUGCAUUUGUCAGUUAGAAUGAGGCUUUAUCCAGGUGGCAAUUGAAGUGGAAGAUCAAGCACAACGUUCAGCAUCACAAGUAAAUCUUUAUUUUUGCCAAAAUUAGUUUAUGUUAUAAUAAUAAGUAUUGUUUUUUAUGUUAUUUUUGUGAUUGCUGAUGAUGUUAGACUUACUGUCGCUGCACCUAUAGCAUAUGGGGAAGCUAACAACGAACUUUUGGAAAUUAUGGGGAAGGUUUGUUUCCUUUUUUAUAUUUUUCUAUUUAUUAUUUAAUAUUUGAGAUUUUUGAGUUGUGUAGGUGGAGAAUAUCAUAUAUGUGAUGUGAUUUUGUUUUGUUGGUUUUAGAUGUUAGGUUUGAGACUAAGCCAGAUGACACUUCAGAGAGGAUGGAAUAGCAACUCUAGGCUUCUUGUGGUGAUUGAAACAACUUUUUUGUAAAUUUUGUUUCUUUAUUUUGAAUUUUUUUUUCUUUUUGUAUUUUAUAAUAUAAAAAAGAUGGAUAUAGCUUGUGAAUUUGAUGGAUAUAUUGUGGAACAGGUGAAGGAUUUCAUAGGCAGACAGGUAUAUGAGAAACUGCUUGAAGUUGUGAAGCCUUGAAGUCUGUGUGUGAUCUUUAUAUGUAAUUUAAUUGGGUUUUUCAAACUACAAUGUCCUAAUAAGAAAAACAUUGUACAUUUUGUAACCACCGCAACGCGGUGAUCCUUCCCUAGUUGUUUAGUGAAUAACUAUUAUAUUUUUCAUAUUUCCCCGUCACUCUCUGUAAUUGAUGAACAUUAUACCUAACAUUAUUAUGAGUUUCUUUUCUUUGUCUAGUAUAAACAAUAAGUAUUAUGUAUUGUAAAGUUUGAUUGUUUUUACCAAAUAAAAUUAUUUACAAUCUUAUUACCUACAUUGUUGUUUAAAUAAAUUUCUUUACAAUCUUAUUUCCUACUUUAUUUCUUUAAUUUAACUUCAUAUUUUAUAACAUGUUAUCAGCUCGACUCUAAGAGCUCUAACUUCUUAUCGGUUUUAUCAUUUUCAGGUAUGCAUUUUUUUUUCUUUUAUAUAAGUUUACAUGUACAAAUGCUUACAACUUAUUUUAUGGAAGUUCUUAACUAAUAAUUCCUGAACAUACAACUCUUUAUUUGAUUAGUAUUUUCACUAUGGAAAAUCAUGCUAGAGAAAACUUUAUCCACUUUUCAUGCAACUAAUAUGCUCCUACAAUAACAAUAUCAUGAGAAAGGUUUUAAAAAAAAUUAUGAAUGAAUAUCAUGUCUUCUUGUGGUUAAAACAGAACAAUGAACUAUUGAUGAAAAAUCACCAAGCACGGUUGAUCGGUUCUAGUCAAUACCCAGAAGUGAAUACAACAUCAUAUAAUCAUAAUAGUCAUGGGUCUAACCGAGGUCAUGGAGGUCGUCAUAAUUAUCAUAACAACAACAACAAGAUUGCAGGUAACCACCAGAAGUGGUAAAAUAACAAAACACACAUCCUAAUGAUAAAAGUGGUUAAGGAAAAAAAUGUUCAAAAUAUUUGUCACCGAUGUGAAAUGGCUGCCACUGUCUCGUAUAUGCCGCUCUCCAAAACAUUUUGUGGAUCUUUAUCAAGCCUUUCUAAAAUAUAAAGCAAAAAAAUAUCAAAACAAAUUUUAUUCAAAAUGAUUGUCACGAAGAUCAACCAAAAAUGACACAUUUUGAUGUUGUCGAUAUUUUUGUCUACCCAAAAGGGAUAAGUGGUGUUAUGGAUGGUGAUGGAAGAACAAUAUGUAGUUUUGUUUCAUAACAUUCAUUAUGUUUUUAUGUCAUAUUCGUUUCAUGAGAAAUGAUGUCGUCACAAUCUAACAAAAGUAAUAGAAUAUGGAUUCAUUUCUCUAAGUCCAAUGUUUUUUUUUUCUAUUUAUUUAUUAAAGAUAAAUAUAGAUAUUCGCAAAAGAAAUGAGAAUGAUAUAUGUCUUGUAGACAAUGCAACAAUACAUAGAAUUUUUAAUAAUAAAAAGUAUUUUGCUUACUUAUCAAUUACAGAUGCAAAUGUUAAUACAAUAACAGAUGCAAAUGUUAAUACAAUAACAGGUAAUGCAAAAAUGAUUGAAGUCUCUGGAAGAGAGAAUAUAGUAUUACCACGAUGAUCACAUAUUCGAAUGUUGUUUUCUUAAUAAAUACGCAUGGAUAAAUAGUGCUAUUUUUAUAACCUUUACUUGUCAAAUAAUCUCUUAAACAAUUGUACCACAUGUGCCCAGAUUGCUUUAACCCGUACACAGACCUUUUUAGUUUUAUAGAAUACAUUUCUUUGGGUUUUGUACUUAAUGCUUCAGGCAUAUUAAAUCCUUUAGGGAUUUUCAUAUACAUAUCACUAUCAAAUGAUUCAUACUAGUAAGCUCUAACAACAUCCAUAAGACGCAUAUCUAAUUUUCUAGUUACUGCUAGGCUAAUUAAAUAUCUAAAAGUGGUUGCAUCCAUUACAUGAGAAUAUGUUUUCUCAUAAUUAAUCUUGGACCUUUGAGAUAAACCUUGAGCCACAAGCCUAGCCUUGUAUCUAUAAUUUUGUCUUUUUCAUUAUUUUUCGUACGAAGAUCCAUCUAUAUCCUAAUAGUUUUCACAACUCCAUGUGUAAGAAUAAUGGCACCAAAAGCCUUUCUCUUAGUAAGAGAAUUUGAUUCAGCUUACAUAACCUCUUUCCAUUUAGCCCAGAGUCUCUUUUGGCAUUUAAGGACAGAUUGUGGUUCAGGAUCAUCAUUCAUAAUAUCACAUGCAACUGAAUAAGAAAAUAUGGCACUUAUAUUACCAUUUUCAUUUUGGUCAUGUACUCUAUUUGUUUUACCAUAAUUUAUUGCAAUCUCUUUUCCAUUUAUUUCCUCUCUUAGGGGAAGUUAUGAUAUUUUCUAUUUCUCCAUCAACAUUUUCCUCAUGAUCAAGUGUACUUUCUGCUCCUCUUCUUUUUUGGGGAUUUUUAUCCUUAGAACCAAACGGUCUUCCACGAUUCAGGCGUGUUUUAGAUUCUUGAGUGACUUUAUCAUCAGGUUGUUUAUCUGGAAUUUCAUAUCUAACUGGAGUAUNUAUAUAUAUAUAUAUAUAUAUGAUUUAGUCACUCUUUUCGUGUCAGUAAAUGCAUCAGGAAAUUGAUUUGCCAUUUCUUGGAAAUGCAUUAUCUUUUGAACUUCUAGUUUACAUUUCUUUUUGUGAGGUUCAAGAUAUGAUAAGGAAGGUUCAUGCAAUGAAACAUCAUUUUCUUGGUUUUUAUUUUCUCCUAAUGGUGGGAAAUUAGUCUCGUUAAAUUUGCAAUCGGCUAGUUGGUGUGUUGUGGUGGUGUAAUAGAGACUGACUCAUAUCCAACAUAUAUUCUCAACCUGCUUUAAGGAGCCAUUUUGUGUGUUGUGGUGGUGUAAUAGGGACAUAUACUACACAUCCAAAAAUUCUAAGAUAGGAAAUAUUUAGCUCAUGAACAAAAGCAAGUUGUAGGGAGAAUAUAUAUGAUAUCAACUUGGCCUCAUGUGUAUUAAUGAUGCAACAUGUAAAACUGUAUGACCCCAUACAGAAAUAGGAAGUUUGGUUCUCAUUAUCAAUGAUCUAACUGUUAGUUGGAGGUGUUUAAUUAAUGAUUCAGCUAAACCAUUUUGUGUAUGUACAUGAACAAUUGGGUGCUCAACUACAAUUCCUACAGACAUACAAUAGUCAUAAAUGCUUGGGAAGUAAAUUCACUAGCAUUGUCAAGUCUCACUCUAUUGGUAGUAUAAUUAGGGAAAUGUGCUCUUAGUUUAAUAAUUAGAGCAAGAAAUUUUGCAAAUGCCAUAUUACGAGUUGAUAAUAGGAAAACGUGAGACCAUUAGCUUUAUGCAUCUAUCAAGACCAUAAAGUAUCUAAAUGAUCCAGAUGGUGAAUGAAUCGGUCCAUAUAUAUCACCUUGAAUUCUUUCAAGAAAUCUAGGUGGUUCCCUUUCAACUUUCAUUAGUGAGUGUUUUAUAAUUAAUUUUCGAAGGGAACAAGAUGUACAUGGUCUUGUGUUACCUAAUUAAGGGAACUUCUGGUCCUUCAGUGAAGGCCUACGUGUAUUCUUAAUUAUGCUUCGCAUCAUUGUUAAUCCUGGGUAGCCCAAUCUGUCAUGACAGAAACUAAAUAUACCAGGGUUACAAAGUUUUUCUUUGACUAUCAUAUUUGAUUUAAUCAUAUGUAUAUAUGUGUAAUGUAGGUCAUAAUCAAGUGUUGGUAGUUUCGCUAGCACAUGGUUUAUAUCUAUAAAAAUGCAUAUACUUUUUAUUUAUAAUGGUCACAAUUUGAGUGUCAUAUCUUUUGAAAUAUAUGUCACUAAAAUUGAAUAAGUUUCUAUUCGAAUUAGGAGAAAAUAAGGCAUUUCUAUACAAAUGCGUGUAUAAUUUGGUAAUGUAAAAAGAGCUUUCCCAUUCCCUCUACCAAGUCUACGUUACCUGAUAUUGUAUGUAUGACUGCUUCUGUGGAUAUUAAUUUUGAAAAGUAUUUCUUAGACUUCAGGAUAGUGUGUGUGGUACCAUUAUCUGCUAUACAAAGAUUUCCAACAUAUUUUUGGUGUUGUGCUUCAGUUAAACUCAUAUCGAACUUCACGUAUAAAAGAAAUAACGAUAUUAUAAAUAUAAUAAUAAUUAUUAUUAUAAAGAAAGUUAUUUAUUGUAGAAAAUACAUUACAUGAAAACAAAAGGAAAUACAAGUUUAUAAGGAAAUACUAAAAGUUUCGGUCUGUGUCUUCCGUGUCAUUGCAGAAAUCAUCAGUAGUUAACUAAGUGAAUUCAUCAUUAUCAACGAGGUUUGCUUUUAUUACCUUUUCUUUUAUGGAUUCUUGAUAAAGUUGACAAAGAUGUGCAGGUGUGCGACAAGUCCUUGACCAAUGGCAUGUGCUACCAUAUUUAUAAAAUUAACCUCCAAGGUUCUGUGAUGUUCCAACAUCAUGUCCCUUAUUUCUUUGUUGGACAUUAUUAACCUAUGGACCAUGGUAAUUAUUAUUUCUUUGACCACGACCAUGAUUAUAAUGAUGACUACAUCCACGAACACAAGUAUCCUCAUGCCUUCCACAUAGUACCCCUGACCGAUCUCCACUACAAACCGAGAGAACACCGAACACCCCGAUCCAACAAAGGAGAAUGACCUUUUACUAACUACUCAAUAAUUCACGGUAUGCAAAUUACAUAUGACAAUAUUUGAAGAUAACCCAACAGGAGCAAAGAAAUAAAUUAGGGAUACACUUACCCAACCCGCUACAAUAUUCCAAACUAAAGCAAAAUUCUCACAACAAUGUACCGAUAAAACUAAAAGAAGGCAAAGUUACAUACCCGCAACAUCACGUGUUGGAGUUCUGACUUCUCCUGUCUAAUACUACAGGGCCUGACUCAUAUCUGCUGGGGCUCCUGCCCCACCCUCUCGGCCAUCAGGGAUUUGUACAAUAUCCAGAGCAGGCGCCUUCACUGCUUCUCCCCUCCUCCUUGGACAAUCGGCCUUCUUGUGGCCCACCUGAUCACAAUGAAAACAUAAUGGACUUGCCUCCUGAGAACAAUCCCUACUGACAUGACCAACCUCGCCACACUUGUAGCAACCUAUACCCCUAGAACGACAAACUCCCUUGUGCACUUUCUCGCACAUGUUGCACUAACUCCGACCCUGUUGGCCUUUCACCCGAUGAUCAAAAGUCUUGGGUCUCUUUUCGGGACCCUCUGUUAUGAGCACUACAUCAAUCCUAUGGUGCACAUGCAAAACCCUAAAACUUUAGAUCUAGGUUUAUAUAAUUGUACAUGCAAGUUAUCCAAAGCUCAUAAACCCUAGAUCUAAUAUACUAUAAUCGAAAUUAGGGUUUAGAUAUUACCUUUGAUUGUUAUGUAGCAAUAACAAUCUAUUCCUUCUUGUAAUUGGCUUCAGAAAUCUUAGUGCCUCAAGUGUUGCACCUCUAAUGGAGUCACAAACACCAUAAGCAAUAAGGAUAAAGAAGGAGGAGAAGGAGAGGCACAAAAACGUCUAGAAAUGUAGCACCUGGUUCCUGGUACGUAAAAUUUAUCUAACUAUUUUGUAUUUUUGGCCUUGGAAUCGGCGAGUUGUAGGCCCGACUCGCCGAGUAGAGGCGGGUUUGGGAGCACGUUUAAGUUGAUGGCUCGGCGCGUCCACAUUCUGGACUCGGCGAGUCCCCACUGUCUGAUGAAACCCUAAAUUUCAAGGGUUUUCACCCUAUUUAAACCAACCUUAUGUGCCCCAACCUCGCCCCCUUCACCCUCAGAGCUCCAAACAUCGUCCAAACCCUUAUUCCUUGUGAGAUUGAAGUGCUUUGGUGUGUUUCUUGAAGUUUUUGAGAGAAAAGAAGAGUAGAUCAAGAAGAGAAGAAGGAGGCCAGGCAUUUUGGUGUUAUCUCAUUGACUUCCUUGAGGUAUGACUUAGUUUCCCUCUGUUUCCAUGAUUAUAGUCCCUUAUAGCUCCAUUGAAGUCCUUCUUGAUCCAUUUCCAAGAUUGAUUACGAAUUAGGGUUUGGAAUAAGUUGAUUUACCCUUAGAUCUAGGCAUGAUUGAGCUCCAGGAGCUCAGAUCCACUGCCUUUAUGGAGCCAUAUUGCAUGAAAGCCCUAGAUCUACUCUUUUAGUGCAUUUUGAGCCCUAAAACCUUCAUUGGUGUUUAUUUACACGUAAAGUUGGAAACUUUACGUGUUAAUCAGGCCCUAGAAACCCAGAUCUAUGAAUGGCAUGAGCUGGAUUCAAGCAAAAUCGAGUAUAUAGUAUUUGCAUGUGACAGACUCGGCGAGUCGUUCAUCGGACUCGGCGAGUCGAGUCACAAGUCCCCGAGUUUUCCCCCUUUUUUCAUGUUUGCUGGGUGGGGUAGUGAGUCAUGGGGUGUGACUCGGUGAUUCGGAAGCCAGACUCACCCAUGAAGGAACUCGGCGAGUCAAUGUCCUGACUCGGCGAGUUCAAGGCAAUUUUCUUGCCUCAAGAACAGACUCGGCGAGUUGUUCAUACAACUCGGCGAGUCUCAGCAUAGAGUGUUCUUUGGAUGAAGAGGAACUCGACGAGUUGUUCAUACAACUCGGCGAGUCUCAGCAUAGAGUGUUCUUUGGAUGAAGAGGAACUCGACGAGUUGUUCAUACAACUCGGCGAGUCUCAGCAUAGAGUGUUCUUUGGAUGAAGAGGAACUCGACGAGUUGUUCAUACAACUCGGCGAGUCUCAGCAUAGAGUGUUCUUUGGAUGAAGAGGAACUCGACGAGUUGUUCAUACAACUCGGCGAGUCUCAGCAUAGAGUGUUCUUUGGAUGAAGAGGAACUCGACGAGUUGUUCAUACAACUCGGCGAGUCUCAGCAUAGAGUGUUCUUUGGAUGAAGAGGAACUCGACGAGUUGUUCAUACAACUCGGCGAGUCUCAGCAUAGAGUGUUCUUUGGAUGAAGAGGAACUCGACGAGUUGUUCAUACAACUCGGCGAGUCUCAGCAUAGAGUGUUCUUUGGAUGAAGAGGAACUCGACGAGUUGUUCAUACAACUCAGCGAGUAGGAUGAAGGACUAUUGGACUUUGGUUUAGAAGGAAAACUCGUCGAGUCAAUGCCUAACUCGACGAGUAGAGACAGGAUUAUAGUAAGACAAAGGGAUAGGGACUCGGCGAGUUGGCAGGCCAACUCGGCGAGUCGGGUCAACUGAAAGUUGACUUUGACUUUGACUUUAACUUUGACUCUUGGCUUGGUUAGGGGUAAAUGGUCAUUUUACCCUGAGGUCGAUUAGCAGUAUUUGACUGAGUGUUUUGUGGGGAUUAUAGCCGGAGGAUUUCCGGGACGGCAGCAGCAGCAGAAGACAGUCAGUUCCCACAUAGAUCAGCAGCUACUUUGAGGUGAGUUACCUUCCAGUAGUCGUGGGUCUACGGCCACAAUAUCGGCCCACCAGUAGGAGUUGUAUGUUAGAUGAUUGUCUUUGUGAUAUCAUCUAGGUUUGCUACUACCUGAUAUGUUAUAUGCUGGCAUGAUAUGUAUAUGUGAUAGUAGUAGAGUUCGAUUGUUAGGACCGAAGGGUAGAUCAAACACCCCAAAUAUUUCUGACAGUAUGUGAUGAUAUGUUUAUAUGUUGGCAUGAUAUGUUAUAUGUGAUAAUGGUAGUAGGAGGGGAAUAGUCCCCAUGUUCGGUCGUUAGGACCAAAGGGUAGAUCGGGCACCCCAGAUAUGUCUGAUAAUAUGUUAUGUUAUGAUAUAUGUGACAGUAGCAGUAGCGGGUGAAAUAGUCCCCGAGGAACGGUUGUCAGGACCGAUGGGUAGUCAGCACCCCAGAAUGGCUUGACAUGGGUAGUCAGCACCCCAUAACGGCUUGACACGGGUAGGUCGGCACCCCAGAAUGGCCGUACCGGGUAGGCCGGGCACCCCAGAAUUGUCCGACAGUGUGUAUGAUAUGUGAUUGUAUGGUAUGUGGUAAGAUGGGGGAACUCACUAAGCNUGCUUACGGUUUUCAGUUUUGGUUUCAGGUACCUCUUUUUCGAAGGGGAAGGAGCUGGCACGGUAGUGGCCCAUCACACACACGCCUUGUAUUUCGCAUUAUGAGAUCCUCCUGGGAAUUUGUACUCUGACUUUAUUAUGUUUUUAUGAAAUGUUUUUUUUAAGACAUGCGAUAACUUUUAUGAAAUGAUAUGAUCAGUGAACGUUUUAUUUCUAAGGUUCGCUAAGAAUAUGUUUUAAAAAUGAAAUUUUUGGCUCGUAUUUUGGGGUGUUACAAGUUGGUAUCAGAGCCCUGGUUUGAGGGAUUCGGACACACCUUUAGGGGUGUCUGAACUCAAAUCGAAGGAUUAAAAGAUUUUAAAGAAGAAAAUGUUUUCUAAAAGCUAAGUAAAGAGUUUUAAGAAGGAACAAAGUGUGUGAUGUGCGCGACCGGCCGAGCUCAAGUAAGUAUUCCCCAAAGUACCCAUACAAGCUUAUGUUAUGUUUAUCAGUUUCAGUAGAACAGCAUGCUAGAAUAGGACUAAGGAUCUAGGAGUGAUGCCUUAUAUGCCUACUUUAUGUGCUUCAUUGUAUGAAGAUUGCAUGUUAGAAUUGAGUAGACAGUAGUAGGAUAGUCUGUUAGGGUUAUGCCUGAUAGUAUGAGUUUGGCAUUGUAUGCUAGUGCAGCUUUUCUCUAUGAGGACGGAUUUGCUUGAGAUUGUUUCUUUUUCUCUGAAUUUUGCUUGCUUUGUGCUUCGUGGGACUCUGAGUGAUGGGAGUUAGACAUUAGAUGAAUACGUCACGUCACAUGUGAUCAGGGUCGAAUAAUCUUAGAGUGCUGGAUUUGGCCUUACUGUGCGGCUUUUGUCUGAGUCUAACCAUGUAGAGCCGAGUCUGUUACUCGAAGGAUUAUUUGAGCCUCACCACAUGUGAUGGUAUUCAGGUAAUGACUAAUUGGAAUUACAAGGAGGCCUUCAGUAGCUGAGGACCGGGUAGGGUGGAGUUAGAGAUUUUCCUGAGGCAAGCCUAGGAUGAGUAUAGCAGUGAUCAGCGGUAGUGAAAGGGACCUAGUAGAGUCAAGGCAGUCCUUGGAGAAGGUACGGAUAGAUGUGGAAGGUAGUAUGGGCCCGUACUACUGAAAGCAGAGGAUCCGUACCCGAACUGAGGAAGGCCAAGAUAAGACCAGGGAACUUGUAGUAGGUGUGAUCCCUCUAGAGGUAUCAGUACCGCUAAUAAUUAUUAUUCAUAUAUUUCAGAAUGGUGGUACUACGCUCGAGGCCAGCAGUUGGCAGUUCAGGGGAGGGAUCGAGUUCGGGAUCAGGUUCCGAGCCAGUAGAUGAGGGGCUACACGAGUUCAUCACGUCAGAGAUCACCAGAGGCAUCCUUGAGUCGACCCCCAUCAUCUUCGGGUCGAUCAACGAAGGGAUAUUGGAGUUGAUGGAGGAUCGCCUCAGGGCAUUCAGGAGCGACAUGGCAUCUGGCCAGUCGGGAUCUCGUACACUGUCCUUCAAGGACUUCAGGGGCAGUGGUGCACCGGAUUUUCACGGGGUGAAGGACCCCAUAGCUUCCAGAAGAUGGAUUGUAGACAUUGAGUUUGUAUAGAUGAUUAGCUUCUGCCCUGAGGGGUCGAAGGUGAGGUCUGCAGCAGGGUGUUUAUGAGAUCAAGCUAGGGAUUGGUGGGAGUCCGUGGGUGACUCGUUAGGAGCCUCAACUGUCGAGGCUAUGACUUGGUCGGACUUUGCGACCAGGUUCAAGGCAGAGUUUGCGCCGGAUGUCGAGCUUCAGCAGCUGACCAGGGAGUUCUUGGAUAUGAGUCAGACGACGGAGACUGUGGCGGAGAUCACCGCCAAGUUCCGAGAGAGGGCGUUGCUGGUGCCCCAGUACGCGGGUGAUGAGGAUAUGAGGAGGACCCGCUACCAUGACAUGCUCCAAGCUGAUAUUUGAGAGCAUGUCAGUUUUUCAGCUUGCCCUACCUUGGACUCUAUGAUUUCCAGGGCAAGGGAGAGGGAGAUAGAUCUGGAGCACAUCUGGAAGAGGAAGACAGAGGAGGGACAGACAGGAGGGGCUUCGGGGAAGAAGCCCAACGGAUCAGAUGGUAGGCCGAAAGGCCAGUCAGGACCGA